CCUACGGGGGGCAGCAGUGGGGGAUAUUGCACAAUGGGGGGAACCCUGAUGCAGCAACGCCGCGUGGGUGAAGAAGCGCCUCGGCGCGUAAAGCCCUGUCAGCAGGGAAGAAAAUGACGGUACCUGAAGAAGAAGCCCCGGCUAACUACGUGCCAGCAGCCGCGGUAAUACGUAGGGGGCAAGCGUUAUCCGGAUUUACUGGGUGUAAAGGGGGCGCAGGCGGGGUUGCAAGUCAGGAGUGAAAGGCCGGGGCCCAACCCCGGGACUGCCUUUGGAACUGGGUGGCUGGAGUGCAGGAGGGGCAGGCGGAAGUCCUGGUGUAGCGGUGAAAUGCGUAGAUAUUAGGAGGAACACCAGUGGCGAAGGCGGCUUGCUGGACAGUAACUGACGUUGAGGCUCGAAAGCGUGGGGAGCAAACAGGAUUAGAUACCCCAGUAGUC
rnacentral:rRNA from 1 species